GACGAACGCUGGCGGCGUGCCUAAUACAUGCAAGUAGAACGCUGAAGGAGGAGCUUGCUUCUCCGGAUGAGUUGCGAACGGGUGAGUAACGCGUAGGUAACCUGACUGGUAGCGGGGGAUAACUAUUGGAAACGAUAGCUAAUACCGCAUAACAGUAGAUGUUGCAUGACAUUUGCUUAAAAGGUGCAAUUGCAUCACUACAAGAUGGACCUGCGUUGUAUUAGCUAGUUGGUGAGGUAACGGCUCACCAAGGAGACGAUACAUAGCCGACCUGAGAGGGUGGUCGGCCACACUGGGACUUGGACACGGCCCAGGCUCCUACGGGAGGCAGCAGUAGGGAAUCUUCGGCAAUGGACGGAAGGCUUACCGAACAACGCCGCGUGAGUGAAGGAGGUUUUCGGAUCGUAAAGCUCUGUUGUAAGAGAAGAACGAGUGUGAGAGUGGAAAGUUCACACUGUGACGGUAUCUUACCAGAAAGGGACGGCUAACUACGUG
rnacentral:rRNA from 1 species